rnacentral:rRNA from 1 species
GGCGGCGUGCCUAAUACAUGCAAGUCGAGCGGACAGAAGGGAGCUUGCUCCCUGAUGUUAGCGGCGGACGGGUGAGUAACACGUGGGUAACCUGCCUGUAAGACUGGGAUAACUCCGGGAAACCGGAGCUAAUACCGGAUAGUUCCUUGAACCGCAUGGUUCAAGGAUGAAAGACGGUUUCGGCUGUCACUUACAGAUGGACCCGCGGCGCAUUAGCUAGUUGGUGGGGUAAUGGCUCACCAAGGCGACGAUGCGUAGCCGACCUGAGAGGGUGAUCGGCCACACUGGGACUGAGACACGGCCCAGACUCCUACGGGAGGCAGCAGUAGGGAAUCUUCCGCAAUGGACGAAAGUCUGACGGAGCAACGCCGCGUGAGUGAUGAAGGUUUUCGGAUCGUAAAGCUCUGUUGUUAGGGAAGAACAAGUGCGAGAGUAACUGCUCGCACCUUGACGGUACCUAACCAGAAAGCCACGGCUAACUACGUGCCAGCCGCCGCGUUAAAUACA